rnacentral:Y_RNA from 1 species
GGCUGGUCUGAAGGUAGUGAGUUAUCUCACUUGAUUGCUCACAGUCAGUUACAGAUUGAACUCCUUGUUCUACUUUCCCCCUUCUCACUACUGAACUUGUCUAAAAA